rnacentral:lncRNA from 1 species
AGUGCCUGAGCACGCCAUCCUCCUGUACCCUACUCCAUUACGAUGUGAUUCCUUCGUGUUAAAACUGUGGGUCCAGUGUAAUCAUACGAGCCUUUAAAAGCAGAAGAGGAAGUAGGAAGAGGAAAGCAGAAUGGAUGCAGCAGAAGAGGGAGUCAGCGAGGUUCCAAGGUGUACCUUGCCCUACUAACUUUGGAUCUGGCCAAUGGAAUAUAAGGAGAUUUGACCUGUGCUGCUGUGAUUAACAGACAUCAGAGGCAUGGUACCAUGAGGACAGAGACCUCAACUGUGUGUUCAUCAUUAAGUCUCCAGAAUUCAGCAAAAUAUAUGGCACAUAGAAGGAAGAAAAACAACAGUAACUAGAUGAAGCAAGGACCACCCUUCUGGACAACAAAGGGAGAGGAAUGAAAGUCUGACCUAGGAAAAGACGGAGUCUCGCUGUGUUGUCCAGGAUGGAGUGCAGUGGUGCUUUCUCAGCUCACUGCAACCUCUGCCUCCCAGUUCAAGCAAUUCUUCUGACUCAGCCUCCUGAGUAGCUGGGAUUACAGGCACCUGCUACCACACCAUGCUAAUUUUUGUAUUUUUAGUAGAGACGGGGUUUCUCCAUGUUGGCCUGGCUGGUCUCGAACUCCUGACCUCAGGUGAUCCACCUGCCUCGGCCUCUCAAAAUGCUAGGAUUACAGGUGUGAGCCACCACACCUGGCCAACUUAUCCUUUUUUUAACAUCUAGUUUUCUGUGAGUGUUUUCUAAUGUGCACUGUAGACGGACAUAGUGGUAUGUGAUUACUAUUCAUAGAUAAAUAAUAAUUUGUUUAUUAUUGUGUAAUAAACAUUGUGUGAUAAAGAAUUUGGCUGACCUUUGUUUCUGGUUCUUGAGAGGUAAUCUUUCAACCCAUGGAGUUUCCCAAGUGAUUGGAGUGUCUUUGUUCUUCAAGGUGGGCCCCAUAGAGCAUAUUUGAUGGUUUAUGCUAAUGUGAUGACUCAGGAUGGAAGCCGGCCAUGUUAGGAAGACCAAAGACAUGAUGAGAUGGUUGGGACUUUGAGCCAGGUGGCAUCAGUUCCACUUCCAAGGAGAGAAGAUGC